rnacentral:rRNA from 1 species
GACGAACGCUGGCGGCGUGCUUAACACAUGCAAGUCGAGCGGUAAGGCCCUUCGGGGUACACGAGCGGCGAACGGGUGAGUAACACGUGAGCAAUCUGCCCUUCACACGGGGAUAACUCCGGGAAACCGGUGCUAAUACCCGAUACGACCGUCACCCGCAUGGGUGGUGGGGGAAAGUUCCGGCGGUGGAGGAUGAGCUCGCGGCCUAUCAGCUUGUUGGUGGGGUAAUGGCCUACCAAGGCAACGACGGGUAGCCGGCCUGAGAGGGUGACCGGCCACACUGGGACUGAGACACGGCCCAGACUCCUACGGGAGGCAGCAGUGGGGAAUAUUGGACAAUGGGCGAAAGCCUGAUCCAGCAACGCCGCGUGAGGGAUGACGGCCUUCGGGUUGUAAACCUCUUUCAGCGCCGACGAAGCGCAAGUGACGGUAGGCGCAGAAGAAGCACCGGCCAACUACGUGCCAGCAGCCGCCGUAAAAC